rnacentral:rRNA from 1 species
AGAGUUUGAUCCUGGCUCAGAUUGAACGCUGGCGGCGUGCUUAACACAUGCAAGUCGAACGUGAAAGUCCUUCGGGGCGAGUAAAGUGGCGCACGGGUGAGUAACGCGUGGAUAAUCUACCCUUAAGAUGGGGAUAACGGCUGGAAACGGUCGCUAAUACCGAAUACGCUCCCGAUUUUAUCAUUGGGGGGAAAGAUGGCCUCUGCUUGCAAGCUAUCGCUUAAGGAUGAGUCCGCGUCCCAUUAGCUAGUUGGCGGGGUAACGGCCCACCAAGGCAACGAUGGGUAGCCGGUCUGAGAGGAUGACCGGCCACACUGGAACUGGAACACGGUCCAGACUCCUACGGGAGGCAGCAGUGGGGAAUAUUGCGCAAUGGGCGAAAGCCUGACGCAGCGACGCCGCGUGAGGGAUGAAGGUUCUCGGAUCGUAAACCUCUGUCAGGGGGGAAGAAACCCCCUCGUGUGAAUAAUGCGAGGGCUUGACGGUACCCCCAAAGGAAGCACCGGCUAACUCCGUGCCAACAGCCGCGGUAAUACGGAGGGUGCAAGCGUUAAUCGGAAUCACUGGGCGUAAAGCGCACGUAGGCGGCUUGGUAAGUCAGGGGUGAAAUCCCACAGCCCAACUGUGGAACUGCCUUUGAUACUGCCAGGCUUGAGUACCGGAGAGGGUGGCGGAAUUCCAGGUGUAGGAGUGAAAUCCGUAGAUAUCCGGAGGAACACCGGUGGCGAAGGCGGCCACCUGGACGGUAACUGACGCUGAGGUGCGAAAGCGUGGGUAGCAAACAGGAUUAGAUACCCUGUAGUCCACGCUGUAAACGAUGGGUGCUGGGUGCUGGGAUGUAUGUCUCGGUGCCGUAGCUAACGCGAUAAGCACCCCGCCUGGGGAGUACGGUCGCAAGGCUGAAACUCAAGAAAUUGACGGGGGCCCGCACAGCGGUGGAAGU